rnacentral:rRNA from 1 species
CGGGUGGCGGACGGGUGAGUAAUGUCCGGGAAACUGCCCGAUGGAGGGGGAUAACUACUGGAAACGGUAGCUAAUACCGCAUAACGUCGCAAGACCAAGAGGGGACCUUCGGGCCUCUUGCCAUCGGAUGUGCCCAGAUGGGAUUAGCUAGUAGGUGGGGUAACGGCUCACCUAGGCGACGAUCCCUAGCUGGUCUGAGAGGAUGACCAGCCACACUGGAACUGAGACACGGUCCAG